rnacentral:rRNA from 1 species
GUUUGAUCCUGGCUCAGAUUGAACGCUGGCGGCAGGCCUAACACAUGCAAGUCGAACGGUAACAGGAAGCAGCUUGCUGCUUCGCUGACGAGUGGCGGACGGGUGAGUAAUGUCUGGGAAGCUGCCUGAUGGAGGGGGAUAACUACUGGAAACGGUAGCUAAUACCGCAUAAUGUCGCAAGACCAAAGAGGGGGACCUUCGGGCCUCUUGCCAUCGGAUGUGCCCAGAUGGGAUUAGCUUGUUGGUGGGGUAACGGCUCACCAAGGCGACGAUCCCUAGCUGGUCUGAGAGGAUGACCAGCCACACUGGAACUGAGACACGGUCCAGACUCCUACGGGAGGCAGCAGUGGGGAAUAUUGCACAAUGGGCGCAAGCCUGAUGCAGCCAUGCCGCGUGUAUGAAGAAGGCCUUCGGGUUGUAAAGUACUUUCAGCGGGGAGGAAGGGAGUAAAGUUAAUACCUUUGCUCAUUGACGUUACCCGCAGAAGAAGCACCGGCUAACUCCGUGCCAGCAGCCGCGGUAAUACGGAGGGUGCAAGCGUUAAUCGGAAUUACUGGGCGUAAAGCGCACGCAGGCGGUUUGUUAAGUCAGAUGUGAAAUCCCCGGGCUCAACCUGGGAACUGCAUCUGAUACUGGCAAGCUUGAGUCUCGUAGAGGGGGGUAGAAUUCCAGGUGUAGCGGUGAAAUGCGUAGAGAUCUGGAGGAAUACCCGGUGGCGAAGGCGGCCCCCUGGACGAAGACUGACGCUCAGGUGCGAAAGCGUGGGGAGCAAACAGGAUUAGAUACCCUGGUAGUCCACGCCGUAAACGAUGUCGACUUGGAGGUUGUGCCCUUGAGGCGUGGCUUCCGGAGCUAACGCGUUAAGUCGACCGCCUGGGGAGUACGGCCGCAAGGUUAAAACUCAAAUGAAUUGACGGGGGCCCGCACAAGCGGUGGAGCAUGUGGUUUAAUUCGAUGCAACGCGAAGAACCUUACCUGGUCUUGACAUCCACGGAAGUUUUCAGAGAUGAGAAUGUGCCUUCGGGAACCGUGAGACAGGUGCUGCAUGGCUGUCGUCAGCUCGUGUUGUGAAAUGUUGGGUUAAGUCCCGCAACGAGCGCAACCCUUAUCCUUUGUUGCCAGCGGUCCGGCCGGGAACUCAAAGGAGACUGCCAGUGAUAAACUGGAGGAAGGUGGGGAUGACGUCAAGUCAUCAUGGCCCUUACGACCAGGGCUACACACGUGCUACAAUGGCGCAUACAAAGAGAAGCGACCUCGCGAGAGCAAGCGGACCUCAUAAAGUGCGUCGUAGUCCGGAUUGGAGUCUGCAACUCGACUCCAUGAAGUCGGAAUCGCUAGUAAACGUGGAUCAGAAUGCCACGGUGAAUACGUUCCCGGGCCUUGUACACACCGCCCGUCACACCAUGGGAGUGGGUUGCAAAAGAAGUAGGUAGCUUAACCUUCGGGAGGGCGCUUACCACUUUGUGAUUCAUGACUGGGGUGAAGUCGUAACAAGGUA